CUUAGAGCAGUCUUUAGUCUGAGAGAGCAAGGUUAAAAAAAAAAAUAUAUAGCCCAUCUUAACAGUAAGGUUUUAGUAGUACAUAGCUCUGCUUGGCAAACUAGAUGGGGAUAACUGAAGCAUGAGCUUGUCUCUGUAUGAUAAUCAACCCUCUUUCUCAGAAGUAAUAGGCUCAGUAUGGAUCUAAGAUGUUUUGUUUACAAAAUAUUGCCUUUAUUACCUUUUCUUUCCUGUAAGAACAAUUUGUUGUUGUGACCAAAUGGUUGUAGCCUAUGUUGAAAAGCUAUUUAUUACCAGGAACAGUUUUCAGGGUCUACAGUCUAAGAUACUGAUGAAAAACCCCAAACAAACAAAUGAAAAAAACCAAAAGAACCCAAAACUUUCAUUUUGGUCUAGCACAGUUAGGGCACAAGACUUCAGAAAUUCUCAGUCAGAUUUACAAGAAGACAUCAAGAACUUGAAGUAUACCUAAUUGCCUUUUUUCUUUGUCUUUUAUAGCUCAUCUGGAAAAUACGAGGUCUUUUAAGAACAUGAGAUGUUGUCUUAAUGGUCUUGAACAAAAAGGCUGUGUCUGUUAUGGUCUUACAGGCUCUGGGUGUAGCAGUCUGUUGACAUGCUACAUAUUUUUCCUUCAAGCUGUAUGAAGCUACAGGCUGACCUUUGAGUUCAGUAUUUUGACUCACUUUACAUAAUUUUAAGGUAUUUUAUUGUUACUAACUCUACUAUUGUAAUAGAUCUAGCUUUAGUCUGGUGUGUGCUUUAUUUAAGCAGAUGGGGUUCUGAGGCAUAUAAAUUCUAAAAUUGGUUAAUGAUUAAUUUUUUGGAUUUUCUAGGGUUUUUUAUAUAGUCUACUUUUCAUUCUACUUGCCCUCAUUGUACACAAUAAAAUAGCAGAUGAAGCUGAAAAGUUUAUUUUACAGUACUUUUAACAAUUUCCAUUAGAAUUAUCUUGUUGGAAGCAAAUAUCCCAUCUGGCUUACUCUUUAACACAGCAAAACUCCUUAGUGAGCUGUGUGGCGAAGCCUGGCUGAAUUCCACACAACGAGGCUCUUGGCCUCAAGCAAGAUGAGCACAAUCUGUUUCCCAUAUUUCUAAUAAAGGAAAAGAAGAGUUUCUUCAUUUGUGGUUUUUUUUUUUGCAUUAUGUUUAUGUUUUAUGCCUUCCUUUCUUAGAAUAGCUGCUUUCCUGCUGUUCUCCGUUCUUUUUUUUUUUUUCAGUACAGGUAAAAUGAAAAUGCAUUACAGCCUUAUAAAAGUACCAAACGUUGCUCUGAAAUAACAUUAAAACUCAAUUUUUUAAAGCAUAGCAUGGUGCUUUGGCCACAUCAAUCUCCUUAAACAUCUGAAGCUUAGAGGAAGUGCUUUAGGAGCCAUUUGUGUUGCCUUACUUGUUCUGCAAAUAAAUACAAGACUGGAGUAACCUGUACUAAAAUCGAUGGGAGUUACGCAGCUGAUCCCAACACUGCUCUGACAGUUUACCUGUGCUGUCUGAAUUCAGCCAACUACUUCGAUCUGUAACUUUAUUCUCUCAUUUGUACUUGAGGAUUAUUGAGUUAUAUAUACUUAACACAAGUUGAUUUUACUGUGGUGUGUGUGCAGCUCUGCUUAGGUGUUAUGAAACUGCAUGUCUGAAUUAAUCUCUGGAUUAAAUUUACUAUUUUUCUUUAUAUGAAGAUAAAAAUAAUUGCACAUUUAAAAGGUAAGGGUCAGAUGCUUUAAAAUUGUAUUUAACACCAUACAGUUAAUCUAACAUUGUAUCAAAUCAGUGAAUACAUGCUGUAUGUUCACAUACUUACACUUUUGCAGAGAUUUUGAGGUUUUAGCCAGAUAGUAUCCUGACUGAAGGACAUGUAACUUGCAUAGAAGUGAGUAGGCUGUUUCAUGACAUGUCACGAACACGUUUAGAAUUUAAUUUUUUUCUUCUCACUUGUGUAGGGUUUUACAUUCAAAAUGACAAGUAGUACUCAAAUACUAGUAAAUAACUCGUUUAUGAUAUUACUUGUAUUCACCGACAGACUUAAAAUGUUUCUUAUGGUGCAUUCCACUUCUGAAAGCCUGGCAUUUCCCUGUUUCAUCUGACAGUGACACUAGUUCCAACAUACGUUUUCCAUUCCUGAUUUUUCAAUCUUAAGAAAUCAGCAUUUUUUUUAUAAUGUAACUAAAAUUGAAAAAAAUUAAGCACUUUCCAUGGGUUAUAGAGGAGCUAUUGCUGUAAUUCUGGUAAGGACCAAACACAUCCUUGCAUGUCAUUCUAUGGAAUGAGUAUUCAGUAUCAAUUCCCAUUUAAUUUCAAAUGUGUUAUUUUGGAACUCUUCAUAUAAUACGUUUCCUGAACUAAGAGAAAACAGACAGCCAGCUGUAAACCAAUUUAGGAUGCAAUUGCCACAUACAAAAAAAUCAGAUAGUUGAUUUCAUGUGAAUACAGCUUUUGAAAUCUUAUUUUAUUCCUAGACAUUAAUAUGAUUAGGCAGUCCUUUGAGGACAAAGGAUUGUGUGCACAGGAAGAAUUUUGAUUUACUUUGCCAUUUGUGCAAAUGGAGGGGUUAAGAUACAAAAUCAAGAAAUGUUUAUUUUCUUUGUUCAUUUUAUCUACACGAAACUGUUGUGCAUAUCGACUUGCUGCAUGUCAUUAGUAGAGAAUUAGACUUUAAUUCAACAGUGAUGGCAUAGUCAAAUAAUACAAUGCGCAUUUCUUGAGAAGGAGAGUGUAGGUCACUUUUAUUGGUUUCCAGCUGCAUUUAGACAUCAACUGUGAGAUGGGAGAAAUAAGUGACUUUUUGAGAAGGCUUGUCAACUGUUUUGACCAUAAGGCACUAAUGAAAUUCUGUUUGUCCUUGGGAUUUAUGUCAGGGAGAGCAACUUUCCUGGGCUAAUACAUUAGUGGACAGGGAGUGAACAACAAGCACCAGGAAAUAGGUAUUGUGUAGAUGCUGCAGAAUGAGUACCCAAAAGUCUGACCCUCCUUGUUUUCUCCAACAUAAUCAGAACUGAUUUAUCUAAAAUUUGCCUCUACAAGUAUAUAGAUAAUGUGUCUGUGGAAUGAUGAUACAGGCAAUAAAGACAGUCUCCUUUAUUCUUGUACGUCAAAAGUGUAACAAUAAAACACUUAGUCCCACAUACCUCUGAUCAGGCCUUUGCUCUUUUAGCCUUUACGUGUGCUGGACACUGACUGCAAGUUACAGCAAGCCACUCACUAAUACCUUAUUUCUUAAUACCACAUUUUUAAAUAUUAUCAUUACUUCUCCAAAAAGUCAUACAGAUGAUAGAUGAGGAAGGCCAGACCAAAGCCUAUUGAAGCAUAGAGGUGGGCAUGAGUUGAAACUGCUUGCUGGAGGAGAAAAGCAGAAGGGAGGAACUUUUACUCUCCAAGUGCUGCUGCUAAAGGUGUGUUCCUCCUGAUCCGUACUUCUGUGUGGUGAAAUACGGAGAACUUGGGAAGGAGAGUUCUACCCUUUAUCCUCCUCUUGGCUGGAGGUGGUGACCUGUUUCCCUUCCUGGUGCUUUUCAGCUUUCCUUUUACUUAAAAACCAUUCAUACUGCUUUGAUAGUGAUGCUAUUUAGAAAAAUAAACUUUCUCCUUCCUGCUUUUUCCUAUUUCCAGCACCCUUCCACAGGCUGUGUAGCCACUGUGGCUGUUCAUUCCCAUUAUUUGAAUGAAGUGAUGGUCUGGGUGAGUUUGAGCUUCAUGUGGAGGACUGCCAGGAUCUGACAUUUUACAUGAAAUCAGUAAUGUUGAGCAUUUUGAUUCUCAAAGGUGUGGGGAAGAUAGGAGACUAUUGACUAUUCUAAAUGUUUGCCUUCAAAGCCCAGGAGAUAAGCUUUGUACCAAAAGAACAACAAUAACAAAAAAAUCAAAUCUCAAUGACAAAUAUUUGUACUACUCACCCCCCUCCCGCCCCCCAAAAAAACCCCAAAAAAACGCAACCCAAAAAAACCCCACUACACACAUAGAUGUGGAUUGUCGUAAAGCUGAGUGUACAUAGACAAUUGUCUUCAUACUUUGGAUUAGGGUUCUGUCUUAGCCAGCUGGUGCAAGGCUGGGUGCAAGGACAUCUUUCUUCAUUUCUUAACACCUGUGUAAAAGAUGGCAUAAAACCUAUAUUAAGGAACAUUAUCACUCAUACAAGUUAAAUCCAACAUUAGUGUAGUAACAGAUUAAAAAAAUGUGGUUUGGAGGGGGAAGGCAGUUAAAACACUAAAAGUAUUUUCUCUUGUUAUGUAAAAGAACCAAAGAUGAAUUUCUAAUUUUCAUAUGACUAAAAGUUUUUAAUAUAUGGGUCAUAUUUUACUCAGAGAACAGACUAAGCUUUUGAUGUGGACUUGGUUUCCUUCUACUCCAGAAUUAACUAUGUAAGUAUAAACCUGUUUUUUCCAUAGGGUUUUGCUGAUGCAUGAAAGCUAAUUUUGCUCCACUGAGCAAAUUAGAAAAAUGUAGUUUGGAUGUCUAAUCCCUACCUUAAUGUGCUUAUACCGUAUGCCAUUUUUUUUUCUGAAUCUGUCCAUCUAGUUAAGGUCAUGUGCAUUGUAGUCAAACAUGUUAGUAAUAUGUGACAUAAUUCUGUAUGAGCCAUCUAUUCCAUGACCAUGAAGAAUGAAGUCUUGUGUUCUUUAUUAUACAUACAGUAAUUGGUGUCAAUUGUAACUGCUUUAGUAAUAUGUAUUUUUUACUGUAGUAAAAAGUGUUCCAAUUCCAAAUCAUAAUAUUUUUGCAUCAUAGAUAGGUUUAAUGGGAUAUACUUCGUUUAAUCCUUAAUUGAAAUAAAAUAUUUUUGUUAAAGGGGUCUAUUUCAGAGUAAUGAGAGCAUGAAUACUUUUCCAGUAUAGCUAAAUGUGUGGAAAUCUGACACUUCAAAUAUGCAGAUAAGCCAAAUUUCAGUAGCUAGAAGGAAUUUGUUGGUUUUACUCAUCUGUUAAAUUAAUAACGCUUUUUAGAAAGAGGUGUAGAAUGUUGGAUUUACCCUGGCAAUUAUAAGAAUUGAAAUUCUUUAGGGAUUUCUGUGUCCCCAGGUUCAUGGUAGGCUUCUUCUCAUUUUGAUGGUAACACUGUUUAUCUGACUUUCCUGUUAAGUUCUUUCAAUAAGAGUGAUGCCCCUGUACUGAACUAAGGAAGUUGCCAUGAAUUAUUAAUAACAAGCUGAGUUUAAUGUGGUUUUAUAGCCCCUGAAGGAGUUGGAAUAGUGUACUCUGUAAAACCAUUCAAUUCACCUAUCUUGACAAAUUGGAAGCAUCAAAAACAUACUCCUACUUGUUAACACUAAAGGGGGGAAAAGGUGACUUGGGAAUGCAUCAGUGUUUAGCCGCCCUGUAGAAUUUGAAAAGGAUAAUAGUGAACAGUGUUCCAUAAAUAACUGUCUCCUGUCUUUGUGCUUUAAUGCAGUCAGCUAAUACUUUUCUGUGAAGUUAACCUUUAUGGCUUCAUUUCUAUUUCACUGGAAAAGAAAAUGGCAAGUUUGUGAUAUUGCAGCUGUUGUUUAUGCAGAUAAUAUGCUACAAGUUAAAAAUGUUCUCUAUAGCAAUAUAGUAGGUAACAAAAAAUCCCCAAUUAUUUUCAAAACCAGUAAUGUUUUAGCAAUAGAUCAACUAAGCUAAAAUUGUUUUGUAAGUGCAUUAAGAAUUCCAGAAUUGAUGAAAUAUACAAAAUUUGUUGCUGAAAUUGUAAAGAUCUAAUAGUGAAUGUUUGUCACUAGAAUAUUACCUUUGAAAAGACUGUUCAAAAUGAGAUUCAUCAUAUCUUUAUUAAUAUUUAGCAAUAUGUCCAUCUCUCUCAAUUAUGUUUAUUCAUUGGUCACUUAAUGACUUAAUUUAAAAGCAUAAUGAUCUUUAGUAUUCAACCAGGAUUUGGCUAGUUUAUUACUCGUCACCAAAAAGUAUAACUGAAGAGUUUGUGUAUUCAGUACUAUGUUUUGUUUAGCAUAUGCAGCCUCACCUGCAGCAGUGAGAUGCUAGGCAGUAACCGUCUUAGCAGUGCAAGUUUGUACAAAUUCUGUUUAGUUCCCUCAUAAGAAACAGAAUGUUUCACUUGAUGUGCGUUAAUGUUACUUAUAAUGGCUGUUGACUAUAAAUUAUCAUUCUUACAGUUAUGCUGGGAAUGAAGCUGUGAUUUUACUGCAGCAGCUCUCUUCUUAAGCUACUUAAAUUUUGAUAAUUUAAGGUGGAGUAGUUUAUACAUCCUUUCAGAGUGAGCAGUUAUUUUAUCAGCCUUGCUGGGAUUUCUAUUCUGUCUGGUUUUAUAGUAUAAUAUAGCUUCUGGUUCUCAAAAGCUAUAUUAAUUUUCUGUUAAGUCCAAAUUACUUCUCUAGUUACAAACAUGCUGAAAUUUUCUCUUCUAAGGCAUAAAUCAACAGUAGUUCAAAUAGACAAGCACUUUUUUUAAAAAAAAGUUUCCCUUUGUGGUAUUAGUGAGGCACCUUAGCAUUUCAAUCUUGAGUACUACUUAGGCUUUUCACUGUAUUAAAAUUUUGUUUCAGUAAAGUGAUAUAUGAAAAUACUUCUAUACAAUUCCACUUUUGUAUUUUCAACAUGUACAUUUGUUCUUUUUACAAGCUGUUGUCUGGCUUAGUUUGAAUUUGUUUUUAGGUUGAGUAAAUUCUAAUAUAAUUCAUUUGUUAUUACAAGGUGUUGUAAUAAUGUGCAAAAUAUUUGUAAAGCUUAAGACUCCCCAACUGCUUUCAUUACUGUUGAUUUGUCUAAUUGUAACAAACUACAUGCUAGUCCAUUUUGGUGCAAAAUAACAAAUUUGCUGUUAUCUCCAGCUGUGGUUUUGGACUCCUCUUCAAGCUCUGAUAGAUAAGAUCUGGCCAACUUUACUGUGGCACUUCAGAAGUUACUGCAUGCAACCAUCAACAAUAUACUGCCAGAGGCAACUGCCCUCAAGCAUAGUCAGCAGACCAAGGAGCAUAUUGAGAGGCUUUCCUCAGCUGCUCCAGUCCACUGCUGGGCAUCACCUGGAGGAUUAUUUCCUCUGAGUUCGAGUGGUCCAUUCUGAUGUGCAGGAAACGUAGCAUGGGUUAACAAGGAGCUCCUGAUAAAACACUAAAAUAAAAAGGAAUCAUGCAAGAGCUGGAAGCAGGGGCAGGUGACCCGGAAGGAAUAGAGACACUGUCCAGACAUGCAAGGGUGAUGUUAGGAAAACAGAAUCCUAACUGGAGUUGAAGAUGGCAAGAGUUAUGAAGGGCAAAAAGAAGGGAUUCUGCAGGCGUAUUGACUCCAGAAGGAAAUCUAGGGGAAGGGAAGGCACAAAAAUGCAUCCCCUCUGCCAACCAUUGUGUAAUGAUGUUCAGCAAAGAGAAACUAAAUAGCUGCAGGAAAGUAUUGUCUUAAGCUGUAGCUGUGUGCUCAAUAAAUACAAAUCAUGUAUCUCAUCCAAGCAUCUAGUUUUAUAUUUCUCUGCACCAAAAGGACUAUCUUAGAAAUGGUCACUUCAUUGAUUCAUUCCUCUCCUCCACACACUGCUUUUAUUGAGAGCAGUAUAGGUACAGUGUUAAUUUGGAAAACUUUUUCAAAAAAUUAUGAAAAUAUGAUGAAAACCUGAAAUAUCACCUAGCAUGGUGAACUUAAGAAAAUAUUGGAAUGCAUUUCCACCUCUAUAAGGUUAGAAAACUUUGCAUCUUUCUGCCAUGCAUGGUUGUUGCAUUCUGCCAUUUGCUAUAGAGAAGAAAGGACAGUUUUUGAAGUGCCUGAGUAGUGUUUAAAAAAAAUGCCUUUUUAUAUUCUGUGGCCUAUUAUGAAAACACUUUUGCAUAUGAAAAACACCUCUGGAGAUGAGGUAUCGUACUCAAUGAGAGAAUUUGUAAUCAUUAAACUAAACCAAGGCUUGUUACAUACAUGCAUUUGUGAUACGAAGGGAUAUUUCGGUUGACUUGCCAUUACUUACAAGCCUGAUUUCCUAGAGUAAAACUUUUUAUUCCACUUUUAUGCGAUGGGGAAUAUUAUCCUAGUAAAGGCAGUUUUGAUGGUUUAGUCUUUGUAUAAAUAAAUCCCAUUCAGCAACUGGCAGCUAACUAGAAACAAUACUAGUUUUCUUUUACCAAUAGUACUAGUUAGAUAAGAGGAGAACAGAAUUUAAAAAACCUAAUGCACUGCAAGAGUUAUUUCCCUGUUGUAGCAGAAAACUGUUACGUAAGCUUCAGCUAGUUAGGUUGUUUAACAUUUAGAGCCUGAGAUUUCAUUUAAAACAGUAAAAGUUGAUUUUGGCAUGAUAUGUUAGACUGAACUACAAUAGUUGUAGAGCUGGCACACAUUCAUCUCUGCUGCCCUCCUAAGGAGGCAGGUAGCUUCCGGCUGACUGUGAGGCUCACAGAGACAACUCUCCCAUCUCAGUGUUACGGGAGUACUCUUAAAAAUAUUUCUCUGAGAUGAUGGCAGGAGAGAAGGAAUUGUCCAGCUAGAGAAUCCAUUGGCUUGUAGAUUUUGUUUCCUUCUUCUGUAUGUAACUAUUUGUUUAAUGGUAGAUCUUUAUUUGGUCAUGUUUGUUUUCAUUAUAUGGUUUUCUAUGCGUGCAGAAUGGCACAUUUCUUUUGUGUCAUACGUUUCAUUGAUAGUCAGUAGAUUUGAGAAGAACCUUAAAAUUAAAUGUUUGAAUGUUUUUGAGGGUUUUUUUAUGCCAACAGGCUGAAAAAUAACUUAUCAUAAGCUUGUACUCUUUCAAAUCCAGCUAACAAUUGACACACCUGCUUGCUAUUCUUCAGUAGUCAUAUUGAUUUCAGUGAGGGAAAUGCUGGAACUAUUCAAAUAUGAGCUUCUGUCAGAGGUCCAAAAAGGAUGAAAAAUGUUGAAAAUUCUCAUUUAGCUGCAAUAACAUUUGGUAUAAGAGUAUACCAAAACCAAAUAGUACAUUAAAAUUAGCCAUCAUUAUAUGUUAAUGUUGUUUUAACUGAAUAAGUUUAUAACAUAGCCAUGUUUAAAGGUAAACUUUAAAUUUGCUGUUUCUUUUUCAGAAAAAUCACUGUUGGUAUCAAAUCAUAGGUUUCUACUAAAAAAAAAUUAUAAAUUUUGUGUUGUUAUGAGGAAGGAAUGGAAUUAUGCAUGAGCAGUUGGGUUUGACAUUUGCUUUUUUAUUGUACAACACUUGAAUUUUUUUACUGUAAGAAUUUUGGCUGUGAACUAUUGUUUUGUUCUGUUACUAGAACUUUUAUGGAGCUCUGUGUCAAACUUCAGGAGAAAAAUAGUUUUAAAGGACUAGAGGUGUAUUGUGAAGUCUGAAGCGCUGUUCAGAAGGAUGUAAACCGAUAGUGUCAGAAGUACAAGUAGAAGCUUUUGGUUUCUCUGUAUGUAUAUGCAGCUAGCUGAGGGGACCUCAGCUGGUCAACUGAGUCUGUUGGUUUUGGAAUAUUGGCCUUAAAACUAAUGCAUUUCCAAACUUGUGACAAGUUAUUCUAGUUAAUCCAGGAUUAUGAAAAUGUAGAGCUUUUAAAAUGUAUUGCAUUUUUAAGAAUCUCAUUGCAUGCUCAAAUUUGUGAUAAAAUGCUGUUUUCCCUUGACAAUUUUACCCUAUAUUUUCAGACUUCCCCAUUAUGUAAUAUUUUCUCAUGCACCUGUGCUCUGAUAAGAUCAUGUUUGGAAGUAAGUUCAUAUACCAAGAUUUCAAGAAAAGAGUCAGGAAAGACUAGAAGCAAGCAUGCUGUCCUAUACAGUCAAUUUCACUUUUUAUAGCAGUGCAAAGUAGUGUCUUCUAAAAUUAUUUGGGUUUAGAUUUCAAAUAUUAAUCUGGCCUAAACUGAUUAGCAAUCAAAACUGGUUAUCUAAAAGAUGUAAAGUUAGUUAACAUUUUCUGUUUACAUCCUAAAGAAAAAUGGCCACGUUAGCGUCCUAGCAGUAACCUUAUUGGCAGUAUUGGCAAAGUGGUGAUUAGAAUAAAUCACCUUCUUAAUUUGUUCUGGGUAGCUAUUAGUAGUUGAAGCAAUUAGUGAAGAUUUGGUUAGAAGGGAAGGGUUUAGUUCAUCACAAACUUAGUAAAUAUUCUUGUUAACUCUAAUUAGUUCCUUCUAAACAGUAGGCUCUAGGCUAGGGCUCACACAGCCUUAUGAUGACAGAAAUUCCUGUCUGAACAUGUAUGGAAUGAGAACUCUUAACAACAGCAAAAGCCCCAAAUUAUCCUUUUUCAAAGAAUUUUGGAGAGGGGAUGGUAAUUAUUAGAAAUACACACACACACAUAUGUAUGCUGGAGUAGACAAGCCUCUAUAAAAAGAUCAGAAGACAGAGAAAAAUGCAAUGUAAUAUUUUUAGAAAAUUAAUUAGGAGACUUGAUUUUGGAAGUUGUAGUGACAACUUUCUCUUGAAAAUGGCAGUGCUGGGGUUUAGCAGAUAAUUUGAAUUCUCAGUCUUUUGUUUUCUUCUUGAAGGAAAGAUACGAUUAUGAAGUGGUGGAAUUGGCAUGCCAAAACUAAAAAUGCAGGCAACCUUUUCUUUCUUCCCUCUUGUUUUGCCUUGAUCUCUCAUCCUUGCUUGUUCUUCCACUUACUGUGUAUCUACAGCAAGGAGAGGAAAUGGCAAGCAGAUAAAAUAAAUACGGCAAAAUAUUAAACUAAUAUUGCUUCAGUCACAUUUCUUCCAAACAUCAGGUGCUAAUUUCUUCCCACAUUUCAAGUACAUGAUUAGAUCAGGAAAUGGCUGAAUAAAUUAUUUAAUAUGACAUAUCUUUUACUGGACAGGUAGGUAAAAUGAAGUGUUCUCAGCAGUGAUUUAAAUUUAAGACUUUUUAUAAGGAGAAGCUUUGGUAAGGUAGUAACAUUCAUACAUUGUGUGCUUAUCUACUUCUGUAAGUGUAAGGAGGAACACUUGGAUUUGAGCUUGUACUGGAUUUUGCAAUAUAUAUAUAUAAAAAAAUACAAGCACCAAAAUAAUAUUUGUUCCUAACUCUUACUUAAACACAGCUAUCAAUGCAAAGGUCCCUUAAUAUAUUUACUCUGAUUUUUGCUGUGAAAAGUAGAAAUUAGGUAAGUUUAUAACAUGUGAUGGCUAAUCUGUUGCUUUUACCAUGAUACUGGUGAGCAAAUUUUUUAAAUAUCUCUCCAGUUUUUAAUUAUAAGUUAGUUUACACAUGUUAACUUUUUCUUAUUAAAAACAAAGAAACAUCUAAUUUCACUUAGCAGUGUCAGUAGCUGAUGUAUUAGGAUGACUGAGCAUUCAUGUUAAUUGUUUUGGCCCUCUAUACAGUUAGGUUACAGUUUCACAGUAUAAUUAAUUUGUUAAAAUGGGUAGGCAAAACUAAAAAAAGCUAAAUCAUCUCUUCCAACCUCUGUCAUGUGCCAGUACUCUCACUUGCCUCCUUCAGUGUUGAGCUGAUUCGGAGAGCUAAACUGACAAAGUGUUCAUGUUUUCCCCUUUGUGCUAGUUUUGGCUGGUUUAGCUCAUUGAACUGGCUCCCAUUGAGACCAGAUGAGUACCAGGAGGUGGGUGUAAGCAAAGUGAAGCAACUGCAGAAGACAGAUACUCCUUGAGAGCAACUCUGAAACUCUGGCUUGUGUGUGCUGGUGAAACUGAAGUAAGACAGAUACCAAGCCUUUCUCUUAAUUCCGACUCGACGAUCUGGCUGGUUGGAGAACGGGAACUUGACCCCUUUGUGUUGCUGUCUUGCAACAUAUGAAAGCCAACACAAUCUGCAAAGCCAGCAUAGAUAAAGAGCUCUGUAGGUUUGUAGGAUAGUAGCAAGACUGUUUUGUGACCACAUUCUGAAGGCAGACUGGAGGUGACAGUAUUAUUUACUUUUCUUGCUUGGGGUCCAAUGAGAGAAUAAAUUGCUAUUGAUUUUUGGGACAUUACGGUGAAGUGUCUGAAUGCCUGCAGAAUAGCUGGGUGGUGAGGUAGUCAGAGUCUGCAUGGAGACUGCUUUUGAAAUGAAAAUUAAUUUUCUUGUUCUGUUGUGUUUGGUGGGUUUUGGUUUGUUUGGUUUUUGGUUUUGGUCGGGGGUUUGUUUUUUUUUUCAGAACUAGAACACUUUGUUGUGGGUGCCAUAUUUAUUAUAAAUGUAUUUUUUCUUUCCAAAGAAUAGAAUUCAACUGCCAUUUUAUAACAAUUUGAAAUAGAUGGAUAGAGCUUGGUAUAUGGCCAUCUGUAUACAUUACUGUUAAGAAGGGAGUGCUGAGUCUUUGCAUGAAAUUAACCACUUCAUUGAAGACAUCUCUUCCAGAGGUGUAACAAUUUAUAAGAUGAAAAUGAGCUGUGUGGAAGUGGAAAUGAUACACAACUAACAGUUUUCCACACCCUCUCCUCACAGAGCUGAUUUCUGCAGAUUAUUCAAGUUCGACAUAAUUAGUUUAUGGGGUUUUUUUGUCAUUUGGGGGAAACCCCCCCGUUGCUUUUAUAUGUGUUACUUGAAGGUUUUGUAGCAUUGCUACCUUGCAGUGACACCUGCUGGGAGAGAAGGAACUGAAACAUCUGAAACCAUGGCUGCUGCCUGUCAGCUCUUCUCCUGGAGUCAACCGCGUGUGCCCGGGGUGGCAGUGCGGGAUGACUCACGGUGCGUGGCUCCCUGUAGGGCAUCUCCUGUCAUUCCUGGCCCAGCAGCCCGACUCCCCUGCCAGAUUUACUGAGCCUCAGAAACUCACUAGAAUGUCGUUAUACAUUUGGGUCUCCCAGCUGGGACUUCAAUUCACAGCACCAAAGAGCCUAGGUGGAUGUGUAAAAUAAUGAUGGAGGCUAUUCAGAACAGUGCAUCGCAGGAAUUCAUCAUCUCUGCUAAGGGAGCCAUAUAUCAAAACAAGAUUUCUCUCUAUUUUAAUUGACCUACAUUUGUGUGUUUACCAUUCUGCAAUGAUGAUUCAUGACUGGAUUCAAACCUAUUUGGCUGUUUACCAUGGAAAGGGGGUUUUCCUAUAUGAUGAAGCUUCUCAGGACCACUUCCAAAUGUAAACAAACAGAAGCUGAUUGAUUCUUCAGCUGAGAUAGUGUAAAGGGGAAAUACAGCAUCCUCCCACCCCCAGGCUGAAUUGAGUGAAAUUUCCAAGACUACUACCAAGUUGUAACUUUCAGUUUUCAAAUUAUGUGGAGAAUGGUGAAACUUGCAAAUAUUUUUUGACAAAAGUGAGAAGCAGUGGCACCAUGUGCUUGUUCCUGGGCUUCUGUAGUCCUAUUUUUGCAUGCAUCUAAUAUAGUUCUCUUAUUUAUAGUUUUGAUGUAUUUGUCUUGAGAUUUGCCUCAAAACAAGCUGGAUACUUGAGCUUGAGAAGUAGCUAUAAUUAUUGUGGUUUCUGUCCUGGAUACUGCCUCUCAGAGACUUUGUGAAGAUUUAUGUAAAGCAGUUCCCUGGACAAGAUCAUAAGGCUUUUGUCUGUUCUUAAAGCUACAGAAACUUAUUUUUUUUCUCUUAAAAUUCUCUGCUUUUGUUUCUCCAUUCCAUUAAGAAAGUUCUCAGAAGUGACACCAAAACUCUAAGGGCUUCAAAUAGUUACCUGUAGUUUUCCCUCCCCUCCCUCCUCUCCUUUCCUUGCUCUGAAGGCUGUGUCCUGGUGCUGCAUGAUGAUUCUGGGUUAAGAUGUAUUUCCAUUGAUACCAGUAGUGCCAGAAUUUUUUCCCUGUAUCUGGGUAUACAUAUUAUCCAUCCAUAAAAGCUGUGUGAUGUUCAAGAUUUAGUUAAUUGCCGUAGACAAAGAAAAUACAUAUUCUGACUUCUGAGCAGUACAGCUCUGGAAAAGAUGAAAGACCCUGAAAUUACCUUCCUUUAUCUUUCCUAAGUAAGGACUACUUUUGUUUCCCAGACUGACAGACAUUAAGCUAGCAGCCUCUCUGUAACAGUGAAGCCAUGUAACAAUGAGGCUGUGCCAGCAAAGAUCAAUAACUGCCACUUAGUUGAAGGGUAACAGUCUGUUCCUACCUGAACCAGUAGUUUGCCCAUGACAAAUAAUCCUUGAAGAUAAUCAGAUCACACCACUUGAUUUAAUUUACUUCCUACAACAGGAGUAUUUGUUCAAUGGACCACAAAACUCUCUGGUUUAGCAUGGCUUCAUAUAUGCUUGUCCAUUCAUCUUAUUCCAGACUAUUACAUUUGGUUUCUAUUUCUUAUAUCUACAAUUUCUUGCUAUAUAGUAUUAAAAAUAAUUUUUCCUUUAAAACAUUCCCUGCUUUAACUCCCUACAGCAACUCCCUAGCCUAGUAAGCACCAGCUUCCAAAGAGAUAAAACUAAUUUUAAGUUCUGAUGGUGUCAUUUAACAUCAUCUGAUGAGAGACUGGUGAUGGUCUGUCUGCUCCCUUUCUGAUGCUCCUGGCAGAGUCUUCCAAGAUGUCUUUUACAGCUAACUUUCUGUGGAAGCUACUCAAAUGUCUUGCCCUGAGUUUUCUUGAGAGCUAAGAGAAAGCUCAAAAGUGAAUUUCUAGGAGCCAGGCCAGCCUGUCUUCCUUAUGUUGAUAUUCUGUUGCUGUCCUUAGAUUCUUUAUUGUUGAAUAAUGGACUUCUAAACUUGUGUAAUGAUGCUUGAUCUUUAUGCUUGUAGUUACUUAUCUAAGGAAUGUUUUACUUUUUAAUAUUUAACCUAUGAAACAGCACAAUGAAUUUUAUAUAUCUUCCAUUAAGUAUAAUAUUAUCACUGUUUGGCUCUGUAGGUUAUCAUCCUUUACAACAUAGCACCUGGUAUCGAAUGAGUUAAUGCUGUUAGUCUGCACAGAAACUAUUCUUAUGAUAAAAAUAAAAUUACUCUGAAAAAAUGUAGUUUAAUUGAAAUCCCAUUUAAAGGGAAAAAUUAUGUUAUUGAUUAUGAUCAAAAUGUCCCAGACGCUGAUGAAUUCAUCAAUUCCUGUUUUAGACAUGUUAUAAAUCUUUUAGUGGAAUGUGAAUGAGAUGAAUAUUUUCAAAUUACAGUGGCACAUUACUUUUCAUGUAUAAGUUUUUUGUUCUUUGCAAUGUACCUGUGAAUGGAAACGGCUUUUUAAGAGCUGCUGCAGAAAAAUAACACACAAUGAAACCUACAUUAUAAAUCAAGCUGAAAUCAAACUGGUUUAUGCCAACUAAAAAUAUGUUUAAAAAAUCAUGACAAACUGUUUCAAAGCUUGCUGAAAAAUGAUUUCAGUAGUUAGUCUGUUAGAGGAAAAAAUGUUAGUA